CAUUGCAGCGAGGGUUACCGGGGUUACAGCGAGACUUGACCGUGUGGCGACAUGCACUUCCGCGUGGCAAUAUAAUCAUUAGCUGGAGUCCCAAUGAAAAUAAGAGGGGAGUAUUAUCGGAUUGUGUGUACCCGAGGCUCCUGUCUCGUUGCUGGCUGGCCCUGGCAGAGAGAAGAAAAAGCGGAACGCUAAAACAAGUUCAGCGUUCAACACCCACAAAGCUCUUCACUGAGCUAAGGACCCUGGGACUAAACACCUCCCUCUGCUACUGGAUCCUGGAAUUUCUGACGGUCUGCCCCCAGGUGGUACAGCUGCACCAUCGAGAGCAUCCUAACUGUUUGCAUCAACACCUGGUAUGGCAACUGCUCUGCUUCCGACCGUAAGGUGCUACAGAGAGUGAUUCUAAGGUGGUGCCCCAGACAGAUCUGGUACCUACCCUUGCCCUGCUCCUGGGCAUACCCAUCCCCUACAGCAGUGUGGGCAGGUCCUGCUGCCUCGGUUCCCUGCAGACAGCCAGAUAGGGGGUGCACCAGCAGGUCUCAGCCAGGCGGAGGCGCUGUGGAUCAAUGCCAAACAGGUUGAUGUUCGAGGCCUAAGGGUUCCCGGAGCAGUGUCUUUGUUCUGGUGGAGGUGACCCUCGUGAUGAGUGUCGACAUGGCAGUGGGCCGUUGGUUUAAGAGACUCUUCCUUGACACGUCUAGGUAGUGCUGCUCAUGCUCCUGCUCUGUUGCAACUGACCAGGGCUCACUCUAAGGUUCUCUACACUGUACAUCCCUAUCUGGUUCUAGGGGCGAGGGAAGGGGAGACACGAGGAUGGACAUAGGUGAUCUGGGGAAGUCUCCAUAAGGACAGCCAUAAAGAUCUGGAGAACGCGAGAUGUUAUGUUUGGGUGACUCCAUCCUCAAAAUGAUGAACUCUAAAACUAUUGAAAUACAUCUGUAAAAUUGGGAAAGGUCCAAACUUUACUUGCCAAUGUAUUGCCUAUCGGGAGAACAGAUAUCGAGGAUGUGUGCAGAGUGGAUGGGAAAGGGACCUAUGAGACCCACAAUGCACACUCUUGCACAUACUCAGUUAGGUGAGAUGUGUCAAAAGGAAAUGAGUGGAUAAUUGUGCAAAAGCAAUGAUUGAAUCCAUCCCUGCAACGUGCAUUAUUUCUGUCAUCUCAAUUGUCUGCUGAAGGAAAUGAUCAAUUCUUAUCUUGUGUUUCUAUAAUUGUUUAGUUUUUUUAAACAAUCGAUGUGCAGCACCAAAGAUAAUACGACAAUGUUUUACUGCAACAGCAAUAACUUUCUUAAUUAAUCUCUAAUAAACAGUUUAAUUCAUAACAAUGUUAUCACAAAUAUACAGUAGUCUUACAUGGGCCAGUAAUACACCUUUCCCUGGGACAGGUGUCCAGCUUUAAUGAAUGCCUUGUGUGAGGUGUUGGAUGAAAACAUUGAAAUAAUAAUGAUCCAGGACAUAAGCAUUGAAUGUUUAUUUAUUUCUCUGUGGUAGAUGCAGUGUGCUCUAGGUUACUGGACAAAGACAUGUUACAUUUCUUAGCUGUAGUCUAAAAUGCAUGAAAAUUAAAUCUGAGCUAAGGUUGAAUUAGCCAUAUGCAAUAGAGCUGCCUUGCUCAAGUGAAUGAUUAAUGUCUACUUCUCAUGGUGGCAGGUAGUGGGUACUAUAUACAGUUGAGGUCGGAAGUUUACAUACACCUUAGCCAAAUAUAUUUAAAUUCAGUUUUUCACAAUUCCUGACAAUUAAUCCUAGUAAAAAUUCCCUGUCUUAGGUCAGUUAGGAUCACCACUUUAUUUUUAAAAUGUGAAAUGUCAGAAUAAUAGUAGAGAAUUAUUUCCACUUUUAUUUCUUUCAUCACAUUCCCAGUCGGUCAGAAGUUUACAUACACUCAAUUAGUAUUUGGUAGCAUUGCCUUUAAAUUGUUUAUCUUGGGUCAAACAUUUCGGGUAGCCUUCCAAAAGCCUCCCACAGUAAGUUGGGUGAAUUUUGGCCCAUUCCUCCUGACAGAGCUGGUGUAACUGAGUCAGGUUUCUAGGCCUCCUUGCUCGCACACUCGUUUUCAAUAGGGUUGAGGUCACGGCUUUGUGAUGGUCACUCCAAUACCUUGACUUUGCUGUCCUUAAGCCAUUUUGCCACAACUUUGGAAGUAUGCUUGGGGUCAUUGUCCAUUUGGAAGACCCAUUUGUGACUAAGCUUUAACUUCCUGACUGAUGUCUUGAGAUUUUGCUUCAAUAUAUCCACAUCAUUUUCUUUCCUGACGAUGCCAUCUAUUUUGUAAUUUGCACCAGUCCCUCCUGCAUCAAAGCACCCCCACAACAUGAUUUCUCCAAAAAGUACAAUAUUUGUCCCCAUGUGUAGUUGCAAACCGUAGUCUAGCUUUUUUUAUGGCGGUUUUGGAGCAGUGGCUUCUUCCUUGCUGAGCGGCCUUUCAGGUUAUGUCGAUAUAGGACUAAUUUUACUGUGGAUAUAGAUACUUUUCUACCUGUUUGCUCCAGCAUCUUCACAAGGUCCUUUGUUGUUCUGGGAUUGUUUUGUACUUUUUGCACCGAAGUACAUUCAUCUCUAGGAGACGGAACGUGUCUCCUUCCUGAGCGAUUUGACGGCUGCUUGGUCCCAUGGUGUUUACACUUGCGUACUAUUGUUUGUACAGAUGAACUUGGUACCUUCAGGCGUUUGGAAAUUGCUCCCAAGGAUGAACCAGACUUGGGGGGUCUAAAAUGACUUUUCUGAGGUCUGGGCUGAUUUCUUUUGAUUUUCCCAUAAUGCAAGCAAAGAGGCACUGAGUUUGAAGGUAGGCAUUGAAAUGCAUCCACAGCUACACCUCCAAUUGACUCAAAUGAUGUCAAUUAUCAGAAGCUUCUAAAGCCAUGUCAUAAUUUUCUGGAAUUUGACAGCUGUUUAAAGGCACAGUCAACUUAGUGUAUGUUAACUUCUGACCCACUGGAAUUGUGACACUGAAUUAUAAGUGAAAUAAUUGUCUGUAAACAAUUGUUGGAAAAAUUACUUGUGUCAUGCACAAAGUAGAUGUCCUAACCGACUUGACAAAACUAUAGUUUGUUAACAAGACAUUUGUGGAGUGGUUGAAAAACUAGUUUUAAUGACUCCAACCUAAGUGUAUGUCAACUUCUGAGUUCAACUUUGUGUGUGUGUGUAUAUAUACACUGCUCAAAAAAAUAAAGGGAACACUAAAAUAA